rnacentral:tRNA from 1 species
GGGCCCAUAGUCUAGCGGUUAUGAUGCCGCCUUCACACGGCGGAGGUCGCCAGUUCAAAUCUGGCUGGGCCCA